GCCUAGUGCAUAGACUUGGAGAGAUGACAAGAACUGAUGGCUGCUGAGAAUGAUACAACACCUUGGAAAUGUAUCAGAUCAAAUCAAAAUCAAAUCAAAUUGUAUUAGUCACAUGCACCGAAUACAACAGGUGUAGGAGACCUUACAGUGAAAUGCUUACUUACAAGCCCUUAAACAACAGUGCAGUUAAAAAAAAAAAUACUGAUAAGAAUAAGAGAUAAAAGUAACAGGUAAAGAAAGAGCAGCAGUAAAAUAACAAUAGCGAGACUAUAUACAGGGGGUACAGAUACAGAGUCAUUGUGGAGACUAUAUACAGGUGGUACAGAUACAGAGUCAUUGUGGAGACUAUAUACAGGGGGUACAGAUACAGAGUCAUUGUGGAGACUAUAUACAGGUGGUACAGAUACAGAGUCAUUGUGGAGACUAUAUACAGGGGGUACAGAUACAGAGUCAUUGUGGAGACUAUAUACAGGUGGUACAGAUACAGAGUCAUUGUGGAGACUAUAUACAGGUGGUACAGAUACAGAGUCAUUGUGGAGACUAUAUACAGGGGGUACAGAUACAGAGUCAUUGUGGAGACUAUAUACAGGUGGUACAGAUACAGAGUCAUUGUGGAGACUAUAUACAGGGGGUACAGAUACAGAGUCAUUGUGGAGACUAUAUACAGGUGGUACAGAUACAGAGUCAUUGUGGAGACUAUAUACAGGGGGUACAGAUACAGAGUCAUUGUGGAGACUAUAUACAGGUGGUACAGAUACAGAGUCAUUGUGGAGACUAUAUACAGGUGGUACAGAUACAGAGUCAUUGUGGAGACUAUAUACAGGGGGUACAGAUACAGAGUCAUUGUGGAGACUAUAUACAGGUGGUACAGAUACAGAGUCAUUGUGGAGACUAUAUACAGGGGGUACAGAUACAGAGUCAUUGUGGAGACUAUAUACAGGUGGUACAGAUACAGAGUCAUUGUGGAGACUAUAUACAGGUGGUACAGAUACAGAGUCAUUGUGGAGACUAUAUACAGGUGGUACAGAUACAGAGUCAUUGUGGAGACUAUAUACAGGGGGUACAGAUACAGAGUCGAUGUGGAGACUAUAUACAGGGGGUACAGAUACAGAGUCGAUGUGGAGACUAUAUACAGGUGGUACAGAUACAGAGUCAUUGUGGAGACUAUAUACAGGUGGUACAGAUACAGACUCAUUGUGGAGACUAUAUACAGGGGGUACAGAUACAGAGUCAUUGUGGAGACUAUAUACAGGUGGUACAGAUACAGAGUCAUUGUGGAGACUAUAUACAGGGGGUACAGAUACAGAGUCAUUGUGGAGACUAUAUACAGGUGGUACAGAUACAGAGUCAUUGUGGAGACUAUAUACAGGUGGUACAGAUACAGAGUCAUUGUGGAGACUAUAUACAGGUGGUACAGAUACAGAGUCAUUGUGGAGACUAUAUACAGGGGGUACAGAUACAGAGUCGAUGUGGAGACUAUAUACAGGGGGUACAGAUACAGAGUCGAUGUGGAGACUAUAUACAGGUGGUACAGAUACAGAGUCAUUGUGGAGACUAUAUACAGGUGGUACAGAUACAGAGUCAUUGUGGAGACUAUAUACAGGGGGUACAGAUACAGAGUCGAUGUGGAGACUAUAUACAGGGGGUACAGAUAAAGAGUCAUUGUGGAGACUAUAUACAGGUGGUACAGAUACAGAGUCAUUGUGGAGACUAUAUACAGGGGGUACAGAUACAGAGUCGAUGUGGAGACUAUAUACAGGGGGUACAGAUACAGAGUCGAUGUGGAGACUAUAUACAGGGGGGUACAGAUACAGAGUCGAUGUGGAGACUAUAUACAGGUGGGUACAGAUACAGAGUCGAUGUGGAGACUAUAUACAGGGGGGUACAGAUACAGAGUCAUUGUGCAGGGGCACCAGUUAGUUGAGGUAGUAUGUACAUGUAGGUACAGUUAUAAAAGUGACUAUGCAUAGAUGACAACAGAGAGUAGCAGUGGUGUAAAGGGGGGGGGGGGGGGCAAUGCAAAUAGUCUGGGUAGCCAUUUGACUAGAUGCUCAGGAGUCUUAUGGCUUGGGGGUAGAAGUUGUUUAGAAGUCUCUUGGACCUAGACUUGGCACUCCGGCACCGCUUGCCAAGCAAUAGCAGAGAGAACAGACUAUGACUAGGGUGGCUGGAGUCUUUGACAAUUUUUAGGGCCUUCCUCUGACACUGCCUGUAGUGCCUUGCGGUCGGAGGCCAAGCAGUUGCCAUACCAGGCAGUGAUGCAACCAGUCAGGCGCUCGAUGGUGCAGCUGUAGAACCUUUUGAGGAUCUGAGGACCCGUGCUAAAUCUGUUACAUUGUCCAGAGAAAUCUAUUUCAUCAAAUCAUAUUAAUAAAAUCUCUGUUGGGCUUACUAGUGAGGACACAAAGUUACCAGUAGCUCUCUUGAUAUUGGAACUAAUCACUCUCCCCUUAUAAUUCUGAAAGCCCAGUUUAUUCAGUCCAUCCACUGACUGCAAUGUCCUACACUCU
ensembl:lncRNA